rnacentral:rRNA from 1 species
CACGUAGGGCGCAAGCGUUGUCCGGAAUUAUUGGGCGUAAAGAGCUCGUAGGCGGUUUGUUGCGUCGGCUGUGAAAUCCCGAGGCUCAACCUCGGGUCUGCAGUCGAUACGAGCAAACUAGAGUGUUGCAGGGGAGACUGGAAUUCCUGGUGUAGCGGUGAAAUGCGCAGAUAUCGGGAAGAACACCCGUGGCGAAGGCGGUUCUCUGGGACGGUACUGACGCUGAGACGCGAAAGCGUGGGGAGCAAACAGG